UCCCCAAUUUUCCUGUUUCCCCGCUGGUUCCGUCCAGCCCUGAUUCCCCUGUAUACCCUCUCAGUCUCCCACUCCUACCUCCUCCAGUCAUUUCCUCUGCUCCAUUUCCGCUGGUUCCGGCCCAGCCCUGAGUUUUCUGUUUCUCCGCUGGUUACGCCCAGCCCUGAGUUUUCUGUUUCUCCGCUGGUUCCGCCCAGCCCUGAGUUUUCUGUUUCUCCGCUGGUUACGCCCAGCCCUGAGUUUUCUGUUUCUCCGCUGGUUACGCCCAGCCCUGAGUUUCCUGUAUCUCCGCUGGUUCCGCCCAGCCCUGAAUUUUCUGUUUCUCCGCUGGUUCCGCCCAGCCCUGAGUUUCCUGUGUCUCCGCUGGUUCCGCCCAGCUCUGAAUCUCCUGUGUCUCCGCCCAGCUCUGAAUCUCCUGUGUCUCCGCUGGUUCCGCCCAGCUCUGAAUCUUCUGUGUCUCCGCUGGUUCCGCCCAGCUCUGAAUCUUCUGUGUCUCCGCUGGUUCCGCCCAGCUCUGAAUCUUCUGUGUCUCCGCUGGUUCCGCCCAGGUCUGAAUUUUCUGUUUCACCACUGGUUCCGCCCAGCCAUGAUUUUUCUGUUUCACCACUGGUUCCGCCCAGCCCUGAAUCUUCUGUGUCUCCUGUAUUCCCUCCCAGCCUCCCUCUCCCGCCUCCUCCCAAACCUGCUGGUCCCUCUACUCUUUCGCUGGUUCCGUCCAGUCCUGAUCCUCCUGUCCUUCCUCCCAUCCUUCUCCUCUCUCCUCCUCCUAGACCAGCCAGUUCCUCGCCAUCCCUGCUGGUGCCAGUCAGUCCCGCAGCUCACCCUCAGUCUGCGCCAUCGGGGCGCGGUGGUUCGCCGCUGGACUGCCAGUCUCCAGCUCCGCCUUGGCGUGUUAAGGCCCUGUCUCCGCCUCCAGCCUCCGAGCCCUGGACUCCUCCUCGGUCCUUCGACCCAGCGGCUCCGCCUUGGCUCUUAGCUCCCUCGUCUCCACCGUGGCCUGUCAUCCCACCUGCUCCACCGGGCUCCCUCGUCCCUCCGGCUCCACCUUGGUCAGUCGUCGACCAUCCGCCGCCUCGGGACUCCACUCCUCUGGUUCCACCUCGUCACUCCAUCCCUCCGGCUCUGUCAGGCUCCUCCUUCCCUCCGGUUCCACCUCCAUCCUCGGUCACUCCGGCUCCACAGCGGUCUGCCGGGACCCCGCCUCCACCUUGGUCGCCUGAGCCUUCAGCUCCACCUAGGCCCUCCGGAUCCUCGUCGUCACCCUGGCUCUGCGGCUGUGCUGCUCCAUCUUGGGCUCCUCACCCACCGGUGCAGUCUCCGCCUGUCGGCCCCCUGGUGUCGUCGACCCUUCCUUCACCAUGGCUCCUCCCGCCGUCGACUCCACCUUGGAUCUCAGUCCUGGCUGGUCUCUGGUGGACCAUCUGGCUCCUCCUGCUCCUGUCUCCUCCCUGGCUCCUUCCUCCGUCUCCUCCCUGGCUCCUCCUUCUGUGGUCCCUGUCUGCUGGCCCCCUCCUGGGAGUCCGUCCUCCACCGGAACCUCCUCCCAAGUUCCCACCCACGCCUCCCCCUGUUGUUUCUACGGUGCGAGGACGCACCUACCGGGAGGGGGGAGUACUGUCACACACCUGGACUCAUUUAGUGUGUUUUUGCCCGUGA
ensembl:lncRNA